rnacentral:misc_RNA from 1 species
GAUGAAGAACGCAGCGAAAUGCGAUAAGUAGUGUGAAUUGCAGAAUUCAGUGAAUCAUCGAAUCUUUGAACGCACAUUGCGCCCCUCGGUAUUCCGUGGGGCAUGCCUGUUCGAGCGUCAUUUACCCCUCAAGCACUGCUUGGUGUUGGGCGUCUGUCCCGCUUCGCGCGCGGACUCGCCCCAAAGGUAUUGGCAGCGGUCGUGCCAGCUUCUCGCGCAGCACAUUGCGCUUCUCGAGGCGGUCGAUCGGCGUCCACGAAGCUCACCUCCACCGUUUGACCUCGGAUCAGGUAGGGAUACCCGCUGAACUUAAGCAUAUCAAUAGCGGAGGA